AGAAAACAGUUUCUCACUACUCUCUGCUCUGCUUUCUAUUUUCUCACUAGGAAACUCCAUGAAAAUGAACAUCAAAGCUCUGUUUUUUUCAAUCUAAAACUUCCCAUUAAUCCAAACCUUUGUUUCUCUCUUUUUUUUUUCUUUCUUCUUCCAUUUCCAAAUCGAAAAAAGGAUCUUUUUUGUUGAAAAAUCCGAUAGCAAUGGAGAAAAAGCAAGGAUUUUUUUCAUCUCUCAAAGAAGAAGUGAUUCGCGGGCUUUCUCCUUCCCGCUCUCGUUCCACCAGCCCGGCGAGAGCUCGUUCGCCCAUGUCCGGUCUGUUUCGAAGAAAGAAAACCAACGGCAAUGGUGGCGGCGGCGGUUACGUGGCGCAACCGGGACCAUUGAUCGCGAGAUCCGGGAGUUUAAGGCUGGUCGGGGAAGCUUUGGCUCCGCUCAUGGAAGGCCCCGAUCCCGACGGAGGCGAAGUCGGGGACUCGAAGCGGGCCGGGUCGGUGCUAGGACAAUGGGUCAAGGGACAGUUGUCGAGGACACCGUCCGUUGCUUCGAUGAGUUACCGUCGGUCCGAUCUACGGCUGUUGCUCGGUGUCAUGGGUGCGCCGUUGGCUCCGAGUCAUGUUGACUUCACUGAUCCUUUGUCUCAUUUGAGCAUCAAAGACACUCCCAUUGAAACUUCCUCUGCUCAGUACAUAUUGCAGCAAUAUACGGCUGCUUCCGGUGGACAGAAGCUGCAAAACUCGAUUCGGAAUGCUUACGCCAUGGGGAAGCUUAAAAUGGUCGCUUCCGAGUACGAGGCUGCCUCGACAGCCACGAGGACGGUCAAGAACCGUAAUGGCUCUCGAGCUGCCGAGUCCGGUGGCUUUGUGCUCUGGCAAAUGAAUCCGGACAUGUGGUAUGUCGAGCUUGUGGUCGGAGACAGCAAGGUUCGUGCUGGAUGUAACGGUAAGCUAGUGUGGAGGCACACGCCUUGGCUCGGGAGUCACACCGCGAAGGGGCCUGUUCGACCGUUGCGUCGAGCACUUCAGGGGCUUGAUCCGAGAACUACGGCUAGUAUGUUUGCUGAUGCAAGAUGCAUAGGAGAGAAAAAGAUUGACGGUGAAGAUUGCUUCAUCCUCAAGCUUUGUACUGAUCCGCAGACGUUGAAGGCAAGAAGCGAAGGCCCUACCGAGAUCAUUAGGCACGUCUUAUUCGGUUACUUCAGUCAGAAAACCGGACUUCUCGUUCACAUGGAAGAUUCACAUCUGACUCGCAUCCAAUCCAAUGGUGGUGAUGCUGUUUAUUGGGAAACCACAAUCAAUUCAUAUCUCGACGAUUACCUACCCGUGGAGGGUAUCAUGAUAGCGCAUUCCGGGCGUUCCGUUGUUACACUUUUCAGGUUUGGGGACGUUGCAAUGAGCCAUACGAAAACAAAGAUGGAAGAAGCAUGGACCAUCGAAGAGGUUGCCUUCAACGUGCCAGGCCUUUCUAUCGAUUGCUUCAUCCCUCCAGGCGAUUUGAGGUCCGGAUCCAUCGGUGAAACCCGUGAACUAUCACAGGAUGAAAAGGGAAAGAACACCAUCGUAUUAGCUGCACAACGAGCCAAGCUUGCCGCCUUAGAACGUCCGUAAGAUAACGAUGCAGGAAGCAAGAUUUGGAAGAUGGAAGCCUAAUGCAAAUGUGGAAAUCACAUAUUGCAAAUUGUUCAUAUAGAGUCCGGUGACUGAGUCGGAGCUUGGUUAUUCAAUCCGGGAUAGAGCAAACGGAGGUUAAUAUUUUAGGUUACCUUCCUUAAUAUAGUGUACAAUAACUCCAAUGGUGAUACAUUGUGGCAGUAAAAAAGGUACUGCUAUUGAAUCAGCAUGAGUUCGGCAAAUUUGACAGUUAUUUUUAUAGUUUUUACUGGUACAGUUUCUGGAUUUGUGAUUCCGUUG